rnacentral:lncRNA from 1 species
ACGACCCCAUAUGGUUUCGCUUUCGCGUCUCUCUAAAAUUGCAGUCAUGAUAAAAUCUUGGUUUAUUUAAUCAUCAGGGACUCCCAAGCACACUAGUUUUCUACAAAUAAAAAUAGAAAAUGGAAGGCUUGUUAUUCAACAGUAUAACAUGACUUAUAUACUCGUGUCAAACAAGGUGUAUGUAGAUCUAUUCAAAUUUUUAAUGAAGUUGAUUGGAAAAAUACGGGCUUCUCUAUAGAGAAUUAGAAUUUCGAUAUGCUAGUGAU